GGGGAUAUGGCGAAAUUGGUAGACGCUACGGACUUAAGAGGAAAAUCCGUCGACUUUAGAAAUCGUGAGGGUUCGAGUCCCUCUAUCCCCA
rnacentral:tRNA from 2 species